AACGAACGUUAGCGGCGCGCUUAACACAUGCAAGUCGAACGAGAAAGGGCUUCGGCCCCGGUACAGUGGCGCACGGGUGAGUAACACGUGGGUAACCUUCCCUCGAGCGGGGGAUAACGUUCCGAAAGGAACGCUAAUACCGCAUAAGACCACGGGCUCGAAAGAGCCUGGGGUAAAAGUAGGCCUCUGUCUCAAGCUACCGUAUCAGGCUGGGUCCGCGUACCAUUAGCUAGUUGGUAGGGUAAUGGCCUACCAAGGCGACGAUGGUUAGCUGGUCUGAGAGGAUGAUCAGCCACACUGGAACUGAGACACGGUCCAGACUCCUACGGGAGGCAGCAGUGGGGAAUUUUGCGCAAUGGGGGAAACCCUGACGCAGCAACGCCGCGUGAGUGAUGAAGGCCUUCGGGUCGUAAAGCUCUGUCAGAGGGGAAGAAAUGACGAGUCGCUAAUACCGGCUCUUCUUGACGGUACCCUCAAAGGAAGCACCGGCUAACUCCGUGCCAGCCGCCGCGGUAACAC
rnacentral:rRNA from 1 species